GAGUUUGAUCAUGGCUCAGAGUGAACGCUGGCGGCGUGCCUAACACAUGCAAGUCGAACGAGAACGGAUAUAAGUUUACUUAUAUUGUCAGCUAAGUGGCGCACGGGUGAGUAAUAUAUAGUUAAUCUGCCCCGAAGAAGAGAAUAAUUGUUGGAAACGACUUGUAAUGCUCUAUAUGCCUUUAUCACAUAAGUGAGCAAGGGAAAUAUUUAUAGCUUUGGGAUGAGACUGUACGGUAUCAGCUAGUUGGUGAGGUAAUGGCUCACCAAGGCAAUGACAUCUAACUGGUUUGAGAGGAUGAUCAGUCACACUGGAACUGAGACACGGUCCAGACUCCUACGGGAGGCAGCAGUGGGGAAUAUUGCACAAUGGAGGAAACUCUGAUGCAGCAACGCCGCGUGGAGGAUGACACAUUUCGGUGCGUAAACUCCUUUUAUUAGGGAAGAUAAUGACGGUACCUAAUGAAUAAGCACCGGCUAACUCCGUGCCAGCAGCCGCGGUAAUACGGGGGGUGCAAGCGUUACUCGGAAUCACUGGGCGUAAAGAGCAUGUAGGCUGAUUAGUAAGUUGGAAGUGAAAUCCUAUGGCUCAA
rnacentral:rRNA from 1 species